ACUCUCGUUCACGGCUGUACCCAUGUCGACGUAAUUGCGUAUGUAUGUAGCUCAGCCUGGCUACACCAUUUUUGCCUAUAUAAAGAAGCUCCUCCCCCUGCUUUGGAACUCAAGUACCGCCAUUGAUUCAGUACUACUGGGCAAUAUUUAAAGAUAUUGAUCAUGAUCAUGUGGUUCUUUGUUCUAUGUCUUACUGCUUUACUUGCAGUUGGGAUUAGUCACUGGGUUUACAUGUGGCUUAACCCCAAGUGCAAUGGCAAGAUUCCUCCUGGUUCUAUGGGCUUUCCCAUUAUUGGUGAAACCUUGCAGUUUUUCGCUCCUCAUCCAUUUCACAACAUCCCUCCCUUCAUUAGAAACAGAAUGGAGAAGUAUGGGGCGGUAUUUAGAACAAGCUUAGUUGGGAAAAAGGUGGUAGUUUCCACAAAUCCUGAAGUCAACACUUACAUUUUCCAACAGGAAGAUAAAUCUGUCUUAUUAUGGUACACAGAGAGUUUCAUGAAA